GACGAACGCUGGCGGCGUGCUUAACACAUGCAAGUCGAACGAAGUGGCGAACGGGUGAGUAACGCGUAAUCAACCCGCCCUUCAGCGGGGGACAACAGUUGGAAACGACUGCUCAUACCGCAUACUGAAGGAGGGGCUUGCGUCUGAUUCGCUAGUUGGAGGGGUAACGGCCCACCAAGGCGAUGAUCAGUAGCCGGUCUGGGAGGGUGAACGGCCACAUUGGGAAUUGGAAACGGCCCAGACUGCUACGGGAGGCAGCAGUGGGGAAUCUUCCGGAAUGGACGAAAGUCUGGCGGAGCAACGCCGCGUGAGGGAUGACGGCCUUCGGGUUGUAAAGCUCUGUUAAUCGGGACGCGGUACCGGAAUAGAAAGCCACGGCUAACUACGUGCCAGCAGCCGCGGUAAUUC
rnacentral:rRNA from 1 species